GGAAUAUUUAAUAACUUAACUACUAUAUUUCAUUUUCGGUAAGCAAUUGAGAACAGUGUUUCUUUUUUUCCGAUUCAAAUUGCUACAGGCCUCUUUACAUAUACGAUACAAUUAACAACAAAUUAGAAGAUAAUGUUUAACAGCCCAUUCUAGACUACACUGAAAAUUUCUGAACUUGUGGAAUCUAUAAUUAGAAUCACUGAGAUGGUAUGUGAAUAGUCACAUGCGAGCCAUCGGUUGUUACUAAACUGCAUACCUAUACAUAAGUAUUGUUUAAUAAUUUAGGUCUCGUCCUGAGAAUUUCACUCUUUACAUGAAGAUCGAACACAUUACUGUUUUCAGUGGACCGUUACCAUCCCUAGAAUUGAAUCACUUACUUGUUGGUAGUCUUUAUCACUCUAAUUAUUUUGGCUUUCCACUCAGAAAAUCCGAGAUCGAGUCUCGGGUCCCACUCUUUGAAAUGUUUAUCAUGGGAUCUUGGUUGAUCUGUCGACUCAAAUUCUCCACAAUCCGGCUAACCCCUCCGCAGGAGUGGGCAGCCUAUGGAAGGGUUUGUUUUACCUUGUCCCU
rnacentral:lncRNA from 1 species